rnacentral:lncRNA from 1 species
GAGGCAGAGUUUUGGCCGAUCGGCGAGGGCAGCGCUGUAUGCCCCCAACGAGCCCAUGCUUGACUACAACAUGGUCAUCAUCUUCGUCAUGGCCGUCGGCACCGUCGCCCUCGGGGGCUACUGGGCCGGGAGCCGGGACGUGAGGAAGUGAGUGUCCCGGGGAGACCUCUCCCUGGCCGCCCAGGGAAGCCCGUGACGCGGUCGGUGCCGGGUUGGGGGUCCGCGGGUGGUCCUAGCACUGGCCGAGGGCAUCGCGCCUCUUUCCAUCAAAAGCGGCCGUCACGGCUUGGCUCCUCCUGGGGCUGGGGCCCGCCUGGCAGCCCCUCGCCGCGUGGUCUCGCGAGGUCCCCGGGGUGGGGUCCGGCUCUCUCGUCGAAGGGACGGCAGGGAUGUGUGAUGGGCGUGGAGGGGCCGCCCCUCAGCCCCGCGGACGCCUGCGUCCUGCUGCCCCUGCCCGCCCCUCCCCGUCCCCGUGCCGGCCGGCAGGGUGCCCCUGACCCGGCUGUGCCUCCCAAGAAGGUCCAUGAAACACAAGCGGGAUGACGGGCCCGAGAAGCGGGAGGACGAGGCCGUGGACGUGACGCCCGUCAUGAUCUGUGUCUUCGUGGUCAUGUGCUGCUCCAUGCUGGUGUUGCUGUACUACUUCUACGACCAGCUCGGUGCGCCCCCGGCUCACCAGAGGGACGCCGAGGCCCGUACCCCCGCUCCCCGGUCCCGGGUCCCCCCUCCACCUGCUUGCGGGGUUCCACUUGAGAAGGCGGUGGUGGGGCGAACGCGGGCCGCCACCGCCGGCCCGAAGGAGGGGACCUCUGCUCGGGGAACUGUCCCUCUCGUUACCAGCUGCCGGCCACCCAGCUAGGGUGCACGAACACCUGGAGCCCUUUCUCGGGCGGGGGGCCAGGGUGGGAGACCCAGGUGGCCCCCGGCCCUCAACGCUCGCCCCACCCCGCCCCGCAGUCUAUGUGAUCAUAGGGAUCUUCUGCCUGUCCUCCUCCACGGGCCUCUACAGCUGCCUGUCUCCACUGGUCCAGAGGCUGCCGUUCGGCAGAUGUAGGUAAGCCCCCCGCGGGAGGCCCCUGCCCGGCCCUGCACCCCCGGCGCCGCUCACUGAGGUCCCACCUUGCCACCUUUCCUCGGCCUGUCCCUGGUGCGGUCUCCCGUCUCCCGGCCCCUGGAGCUCCAAGCUCUGCUUCAGUGGUGCCGAGGACCCCCUCCCUGUCCUGUGGCCCCCGGCCAGUCUGGCGUGGCGUGGGCAGGCCACGCGUGCUCACUCAGUGCAGGCUGGGGCUCGCGGCCUCAGGAGUAGGGCGGAGCAGAGAGGCGGGUGGUGGUUCCCCAGCCUCUCUCUCCCUGCAUCCCAUUCCGGGUCAGGCCCAGUGUCGACACCGGGGCUGAAGCGGGGCGAUGUGGAUGCAUGUGGGUCCAGGGCAGGGGCGGCAGGGCAGGGCCGUGUGGCCGAAGGCGCUGCCGGUCCAGGCCCCUGGGGCCCUCGGCCGCCAGGGGCCAGUGGCCGAGCGCUGAAAGGUUUGAAGGAGGGCAGGGCCGGCUCGGCGCUGGCUGGGGUCUGCCCACCCCCACGUGCCAACCCCUGCUCUGUCUGCCCUGGACCUGGGGGGCCUCCCUUCUAGAAGUCAAUUAAGAGGUCAGGGCAGAGUUCAAUAGGGAACGGAGGCGGGGGCAGCAGGAGGCCCCGUAAGGAUGAGGGGCCCAGGGUUUGGGGCAGGGGUGGAAGUGACCCUCUGGGUGCUGGGUGGAGGUGAGGAACAAGCUGGCCCUGACAGCUGCGCCCCCCCCCCCCGCCCCCAGGGUCCCCGACAACAGCCUGCCCUACUUCCACAAGCGGCCUCGGGUCGGCAUGCUGCUCCUGGCGCUGCUCUGCUUGGCCGUCAGCGUGGUGUGGGGUGUCUUCCGGAACGAGGACCAGUGAGUGCCCCCCACCGCGGGCUGUCCUCAGGUGCCCUCUGUGCUCGUCUCCCCGCGACCGUGAGCCGGGCUGUGUGGCGGCCAGGUGCCGCCCGCGUCCGGUGCCACUGGGUUUGUCGGCUGCCACGUGAACCGUGAUUGGAAUGUGGAUAUGGUUCCCGCGAAGCCUCCCGGCCCCGGGCGCCCUGAGCGAGCGCGUGGCCUCCGGGGUGCCCGCUGGUGCAGGGAGGCCCUGGCCGCCGGCCCCUGACACCACCUGGCGCUCCCUCCGAGCCUUUUCUGGGGCGGUUAACCGCUCUUGGCCGCGCUGCCGUUUGGAGCCACGACAGCUUUAAUUGGGCAGAAGGAAAACGUGAAAAUAUUUUGAGUCCUUUGUACACAAAGGGAACACGAGCUCCCACGGUUAGAUUCGAGCCACAAGACUCGCUCUGUUCUUUAAAAUUAGAGCAGGCCCAGUUCCCUCUGCGUCUGGGCGCCCACUGGCCGCCCGCAAGCCUCCUCUUUGUUCUUUGCGGCUGCCCCGGCCGGGAGAUGUUUUCAUCCCGGUCUGAUGAGUAACCUGGGCCGCGGCCUCCUUGCCGCCCCAGCGCGGGCGAGCCUGUGGACCGGGCGGGGUGGCUUGUGUGUGUGUGUGGGGGGGAGCUCCCUGCAGCUGCUGGGGUGACAGUCUUACCCGCCCCCCCCNCCCCCCCCCCCCCCCCCCCCCCCCGCCGCCACCUUGCAGUCCCUGAGCUCCCAUUUCUGGCACCAAGAGAUUUGGUGUAGAACCUGGCUGGCGAGCAUUUGGCUUUGCUAAAUCACAUAAAAAAUAGUUUUGAAGCAAACCCGAGUCCAGUAGAGUCCAAUAGUUGCACAGUGUCCCCACCCCAUCCCCCCGCCCCGUCCCGUGAUGUGGGGGUGAACGCCACCACCCAAGAGAGACAGCCCCUGAGCGUGUGCACCCAUUCCUGCCUCACUCCCCCCGCCUCCCCCCCCAGCCUUGGUCCCGUGCCUGUGUCUUCACAGCAUGGGGUCGGGCUGGGAACGGACAGCUUGCACAAGCUGGGAGCCAAGGUGGCCAAGGAGGGAGCGACCCGCCGGGUCAUAGCUCUUGGUGGAGCCCCUGCCCCAGCGGGUGACCACCACUCUGCUCCCCAGGUGGGCCUGGAUCCUUCAGGACGCACUGGGCGUCGCCUUCUGCCUCUACAUGUUGAAAACCAUCCGCCUCCCCACUUUCAAGGUGAGGGUCCCAAGGGGGUGGGGCCGCCGGAUGGGAGGGGGCUGUGUCCUCAGGGCGGCUGCAGGCCGGCCCGCCCCCGUGUCCGCCCAGGGUGUCCCGGGUCCCCUGUGGACAGCAUGUUCUUUGUGCCUCUGUCCGUCCCGCCACCUCUCUGGUGUCAGGGCUUAAGGAUCAACCGCAGGAUCGCCUCCCAGUGUGGCGGCCACGCCAGUGACAGCUUGGCGCUGAGGAUUCCCCGGGUGGGGCCGCAAGGCGGCCGCAGGGCAGGGCCCUUCCCGAGGCGGCCACCGUGGCGGUGCCGGGUCAACUUCCUGCUGGUGAGCCGCGCACACACAGGCAAAAGGGGGCGGCAGCGCCAGCGCAGGCCCCGUGGGCAGGACCGAGAAGUCCACGGGAAGACGUGAAGAAGGGGCGUCACCGCCCCAAAGCCACAGAAUGCGUGUCGCUGGAGCCACCUGCCUUCCAGCUUUUCCAUCACUCAGAACCGUGGCCUGACUCACGUGCUGCCCUGGUCUCCCGCGGCUCCAGGGGAUGGGACUGGAUUUGCUCAGAUUUGCCCCUAGCUGCUUUGUCCCGUGGGCACGGCUGAGCCUUGUGGGGGGAGGUGGGGGUGGGGACGCGGCCUGGGGGUGUGCGCCGGGGACCUUCUGAGCGCGGCCCCUCAGGACGUCCUCUCCCCAGGCCUGCACGCUGCUGCUGCUGGUGCUCUUUGUCUACGACGUCUUCUUUGUGUUCAUCACGCCCUUUCUGACCAAGGUGGGCGCCCCUGCCCUGCCCUGCCGCUGCACCCCCUGUCCCCGUGCCCCUUCUCUGACACCCCCCCCCCCUUUGUUAGAGUGGGAACAGCAUCAUGGUGGAGGUGGCAACCGGGCCCUCGGACUCGGCCACCCACGAGAAGGUACGUAGGGGGCCCCCGGCCGGGGCGCCGCCCGGAGAAGAGUGCUGGGCACGCGCGGCCCCCCGGACAUGGCACUUCCUGCUCCCCCCAGCUCCCCAUGGUCCUGAAGGUGCCCCGACUGAACGCCUCGCCGCUGGCCCUGUGUGACCGGCCCUUCUCCCUCCUGGGCUUCGGGGACAUCCUGGUGCCAGGUACUGGGGUGCGAGGUGGGCGGCCUUGGGAGCGUCCAGUGGGUGGAGCCUGAGCGGAGCAGGCCGGGUUUGCCCCCUGGGUGGCGGGCUGGCCGCCGAGCCCCGUCUGAAAGCAGGGACGGCCGUCACACGGGACGCCGCCGGGCCCACGCGCCUUCUCCCCGCAGGGCUGCUCGUGGCCUACUGCCACAGGUUCGACAUCCAGGUGCAGUCGUCCAGGGUCUACUUUGUAGCCUGCACCGUGGGUAAGCGCCCUCCUUGUAUCUGUCCGUCCUUCGUUCUGUCCUUGUCCCCCACUUCUUUCUUUGGUUACCAAAGCCAUUGCUACAGAACCGACCUGUCCUGUGGAGCCCGAUUGCUUUGAGAGUUUUCCAGACCGGCCGGCCUGCUCACCUCUGGUCAGCCCUUCCGGAGGAGCAGCGAGCCUGCCCGAUGGCGCCUGUCCGUGUGCAUGCGUGUCCCCCGCCAUGGGGGAGCCAGGCUGGGGGAGGGGCUGCCUGACGACUCCCUCCCCCGCGUCGUGGGCCGCGUGCACAGGCCCCGGCAGCCCACCCCGGCAGAGGCGAGGCCCUGUAAAUGCCCCUGGGAGCACCAGGACGACCGGGGCUGACCUUCCGGGCGUACCUUGGGGUCGCCUGUGUCUUCCCACCCCGGUGGCUACGGCUGCAGGCACGCCCCCCUCGUCCCCUUUGCCGGCCCUAAACCUUCCCUUGGGCUUUACACACCACACUCAUCCUUCAGGUACCGUUGCAAGGGCUUUGUGUGUGUGAGCCGCUUGGCCGGCUUGUGUGUGUGGUUCCUUGUCGAGCCUGCGGACCUUGCGGGCAGCGGGCGCCUUUCUCCUCCGCAGCCGCAGCCGCAGCCCGCUCCCGUGGACCGCCGGUAAGUGACGCACAGCUCUCCCCGGAGGUGAGGACCGCCGAGCGAGCCGCGAUCUCGGAGGAGGUUACUGUAGCCUAACUCCUCGAGGAGACGGUUGCGGAUUUACCGCUGCAGGAUUAGCGCAAAGAGCGCCUGCACGCCGGCCCUCGGGUCCAGCAGCGUGUGCGUGCGUGACUGUGUGUGCAAGUACGUGUGUGUGCGUGCGCAAACGCGCGUCCUUCUAUGCUGGCGCUCACGUAUGGAACCGACGUGCGGGAUUUAUUCGGACCUUCGCCCCUCGGGGCUCCGUCGGGUAUCUCAUGAGAAUGGAAACAGCCUUUCGAACGAUCACAGCUUGUUACGAACAUUUGCUUUUGUAACUUUGUGCGGACGUUACUCUUCUCCAGAAUUCUCUUCCUAGCCAGAGGCUGAGCAGACAGGUGCUCAGGCAGUUAACGGGCCUUUCUCUCACUGCCCCUGUGGCUCCAGACCCGGGGCUCAGCCAUGGAGCCUUGCUCAUUCCCGCCUUCUCGCUGGCGCCCGGUGGGACCGGGCAGGGGUGUGUGUGCCGGAAGACGCAGGCGCAUCCGUGCGCAGGCAGGCAGCCCCCUGCCUGCCCCGGGUGCCCCAUGCGCUACCGUGUGGCGGGCGCCCCGCCUCUCCGGUCCCCGUUCCGGCAUCCCGGCCGCAGGCGGGUGCUGGGCCGCGGGGCCACCCGUGGGGGUAACACGCCGCCCGUCUCUCCCUGCAGCCUACGGGAUCGGCCUCCUGGUGACGUUCAUGGCGCUGGCCCUCAUGCAGCGCGGCCAGCCCGCCCUCCUCUACCUGGUGCCCUGCACGCUGAUGAUAAGCUGCGCCCUGGCGCUCUGGCGCAGGGAGCUGGGCAUGUUCUGGACGGGCAGCGGCUUUGCGGUGAAUACCCGUUUGCUAUGACUGUCUGCGAGAAAUAAUAACCCAAUAAGCCCUAACUAGAGUUAAAGUUGAGUAAAACCUCCUAGUUUCACGACUAAACCCCGCGGCCUCUGUCCCCGUUCCCAGAAGGUUCUGUUUGGUGUCCUGUCCGUGUGGCUCUGAAGGGUCCGAGCCGUCCCAGCAGAGGGGACGCGCUUGUGCCGUCCCACUGGGUGUGGCUUGAGGAUGGUGCUAACAGCCCUUUACUAGAGGUGCCAGUCCCGAGGGACCGUAACACCCCAUGUGAUGGGAUACUGGCUUCCGGCUGCUUCAGCCCUUGGGAACACAGUGCCGAGCUGGGGGGGCCCCCGAGGUCCUCUGCCAGGGUGGGGGCUGUCCGCCCAGGACGGGGAAAGGGCAGGGGGCCCGGGGGCAAGCUGUGCAAGGCCAGGUGGAGGAACCCAAGCUCAGCCUGUGGCGCCACCGCCCCCCUCGUGGAGUGGAUCACGGCCAGUGGCUUGCUGUUCCUGGUUUUUGAGACAGAAGAGGAGAGGGACGGAGGCCACUCUUGGUGCAGCGCAGCACAUUCGAUGGGACGAGGGCACGUGUUUCAGUGGCGCAGGGACAGAGCUGACGCCCUGCGGGUAUGGAAAGGCUGCGGCUGCCUCUGCUGCCCUGUCAGUAGCACACAGAGGCGGGCGACACCGGGACCAGCCUUGUCAGUUACAGGAGCUCCUGAGUGUGACAUGUGUCCCUCUGGAGCGCUGCUGGUUGAGUGUGGUGUUACCGUGCCAGGUUUUGUGGAAGUUGAAACUCGCACCCUCUCCGUCCUGGCCUAGAGGCGCCGAACGGAGCAGGGCCCCAGGUUAACCUGAUAGAUGAACCAGAUAACGUAACCGAUGGAUGAUAGGGCCUUGGGCCCUCCCGCGGGCCCUCGGGGAAACGCUCCCGGCUUCAUCGCCCACCGUCCUCAGAGGCUCUCAGUCCCGAGGAGUGCUGGCUUUGCCACAGGGCAAAGUUCUGGAAGGUUCAGGAGGCCGGGGAACAAGGCUCAGCGUUUCUGCAUUGGGUCACCGGCCUGUGGUCCCGCCUUCUGGCUGGUGCUACUUGGCCCCAAGGGAAGGUGGCUCCUGGGUCUGGAGCUGGACCCUCGGGGGACGGUGACUCAUCUGCCCUCCCCUGUCCACUGUCCCCGGGCUUUCCUGUCCUCGUCCCACGCCUGACUGUGGCCUCUUCUCUUACAGAAGGACCUACCUCAGUCUCCUUGGGCGGCGUCUUCAGCCGACGGCCCCCAGCCCCAGACGGACUCAGACACUGGCCUCUCCCAGCCGCCUCCAGGCGAAGGACUGGCCAAGUGCUCCCUGCCCACGAAGCAGCCCCCGGCAUUGUCUGCGCCCGAGGAGACGGGGGCCAGAGCACCCCCCCAGGAGCCCACGAGCCCAGCCAGCCGCCCCCCUGAACCCACAGGCCCGGUAGGCACCUCGGCCUAGAUGAUGGCGCAGACUCUCGGGCCCUCGCUGCCGCCCCUCUGCGCCGAGAGACCCCGAGACUGGACGUGCUCGGCCCUCCCCCCCCCAACUUGGUGCUCUGGUCUGGCCGAUGUCCCCGCUCUUCCUCCUCCUUGAGCAGAGCCCAGCUGCACCCUGGACCCUCUCCAGCUCCUGCUCCCGGCCCGAGUGGCUGCCGCGAGCCCCCGGACCGACGAGGUCACCCGUGUGGAGCGCCCAGCUCCGCGGUCUUGCCUGUCGACUCGGUGGUUCCUCGGAAAGGGCAGGAAGUGCCGCCUCCGACCGCCCACGGCUGCAGAUCCGCCCACAUCUGGUGCUUACCUUGCCGCCACUUCCCUCAGGUUCUCUCCUGUGCCGCGCCUGCGCGUCCCCAGGGACGCUGGCCAGCAGAGCCCAGUCCGGCACCUGGGCCCUGGAUGUCUGGACUCAGGAUGCGGGCCCGGCUGGCCGGGUCGGACCUGCCUCUGUGUCGGCAGGGACUGCAAGCGGCGCCCGGCGUGACGGGCCACCCCUCUCGGGCCCGCCUGGCUCUUCCAGCAGCCAGGGCCGCCCAUGCCUGCGCUCCAGCUUCUCCGCCUCUUAAUAAACGGCCAUGACUCGUUGAGCUCCGUAGUGUCACCUCUUGGGUGUGAGUCUCUCGGACCACCCUUGUUGGGGCGGGUGGGUGCCAGGCCGCACCCUCCACGGCGGCUGUGUCUUCUGUGUGGGCUCCGUUUGGUCUUUCAGCUUAGAGGGACUGGGGAGGGGGGCACCGUCCUCUCGGCAUCUGCACAUUCUCAACCCCACCCCAGACCGGCCUCUAGCGACACCACCGGCCGGGCGAGCAUACUUUUUAUUUAAACCGCCCAGGAGUUUCUGCAACGUGGAGCGUAUUCUGGAAUCGGCGUUUUGUCUUCUACCUCACCGACAGGGUUCUCCGAACGUCAGGACAGAAAUGCCGCGGUGCAGCGGCCCCCGUGCCAGGGCCGUGCCCGUCCACGCAGCUUACAGACUCAAGUUCAGAAAGACAUAGACCCUCCAGCCGCACGGUCCCAGCUCUGUCCCCGACGUGUCUGCUGAUCAGUUGUAGACAGCAGGCGGGGGGUCAACCAUGAUCCAUUCCAGAAAAUACCAGCACCAGACAGACUCACAGCCUUUGUCAGCCAUGCUUCUCUAGAAGAAAUGGUUAUUCCAAAAAAAAAAAACAGACGUUUUCCACCUGUUUCUGUGUGUCUCUUAAAAAAACAGGUGACCUGGGAGGGAGACCAGCUGGACCUGCCGACCCCAGAGAGCCCCUGACUCGGAGGCCGGAGCUGGGGUGCAGCCCUGGGCGGCCGGGGUGCCAGGCCUGAGUGGCCCCCUUUGCACAUCGGCCCACACCUUACUCUAAGCCAUUUUGUACGUCGGUGUAGGAGCCGGGAUCUCUCUCUGUCUUCUGUGUUUGACAAACAUCAAGGAAUUCGAGGCGGCUGUUAGUUCCUGAAGUUUCCAUUUGCAGUUUUUGCCUUCUGUAUUUUUGAAGGGAAACAGAGCAUGAGUGGGGGAGGGACAGAGAGAGACAGAGACAGAAUCCUAAGCACACUCCACUCCAGGCUCUGAGCUGUCGGUACAGAGCCCGCCGCGGGGCUGGAACCCAGGAGCCGCGAGAUCAUGACCAGAGUUGGGCGUUCAACCGACUGAGCCCCCCCAGGCGCCCUGACACAGCUUGGCCUGAUAGUUGUUGCUUGGCUCUCAUGUUUUCCACAGUGUGGCAGCUGGCAGAGCCCGGCCCGGCAGGAUCAGAGUGGCCUGGUCUGUGAGGAUGGCCACACCGCCCCGGGGAGCGCGUCCACACCGCCCACUGGAGCCGAGCGGGGCUGCUGUCCUAUUUCCUGGCACUGGAGAGUCGAAGGAAGCCCAGUCAGUGCUCGGUCCACCCCGUGUUCCGGGCCAUCGCUUGUCCGUGGUGAUCUAAGCAGCGUGGCCGGGAUCCGCACCCCGUGGACUUUGUGAAGAGCCAGCCAGCGUGCUUGGGGUCUUCCAGGCCACCCACUCCCUGCCACAACUCAGCCCCGCUGCCAUAACCCAAGUGUCACAGCACGUGGCGGGCAGGCGUGCCCGUGGCCAGGGCGCUGACGGACACAGAGACGUGCCUUCCGAGUGGUGUUCAGAGGUCACGUGAUGGCCUCCUUUUGGUAUUUUUCAACUAGUCAACACAGUGAAGCCCUUUCUUUGCCAGCAUCUUCCAAGGGCGGCGGGCCCACCCCCGGCUGUGCCGCCCACGGUGUGAGCGGUGCCUCUGCUCUGCUGCAGAGAGAGAAGGCGAGGCUCCCGAGGCCGGUCCACUGGGCAGCGCGGGGCUGGCGGAGACGCAGCAGAGACGUGUCGCUCCUCCGAGAUGGUCCCGACACCGGGUGCUCAGUGGUCUCGGCCAGGCCGCGGGGGCCGGGGGCCCAGCGUCCUUCGUGAGGGCAGGGAGGGCCCCACGCGCAGAGCUGCGGGUGGGCGCAGGGGGGACAGUGCUCCUGCCCUGUGGCGGGGCUCGGCUCGGUGCUGGAGUGCGGGCUCUGUAGUUGGCUCGGGGCCGUGAGGACAGCAGUGUUCUUCCACUAAAGCCCCAGAGCUUAUUUGGUUUCCACGACUCAUUCAUUCCAUCAGCCUUCAUUGAGCGCCUGCUGUGUGCCAGGCCCCCGACUCCACCGGGGAUUCACGUGCGAGGCUCAGACCCCACUCUGCCCCAGGUGGCUGACCCUGGAGAGGAGGGACAGGACACGAGUCCACACCUGUCUUUGUCUUUGGGAAGGGAACUUGGAGGAGACAGGUGAGGCCUGUAGUGGGGAGAUCAGCAUGGCUGCUGGGAGGGCAGGAGAGGGGCAGGGGUCUCUUGGCCCCGUGGGGAAGGCAUGGCCGGUGUCACCAGAAGGUGAGGGGGCAAGAGUCCUAGAAAGGGCAUAGUGGCACCUGUCCUGGUGGGGGGAGGGGAGGGAGACCCCUCCCCCCACAGCUGUCGUAGCUCAAGGACAGGUGCAGCAGUGGGAAGAGCCCAGGUCUGCAGUCUUGGCUUACAUGCUGGAGGAGUGACCUCGGUCAUGCCCCUAUGCUCCCUCUGGGGCUGUAGCUGUUGCUUCUGCCAGUGGUGUGACGGCUGCUUCUCCAGGGCCUCCCUGCAUGUGCUCAGGAAAUGGGACCAUGCUGCAGGCAGCCGGGACCCGGAGGAUUGCUCUCCCUCUAGCACCAUGCUUGGCUCCCCACGGCUUAUGGCGUUUCCCACAAAAGUCAGUCACCACUUAGGACAUGAAAGACGAUGCCACCAAUGGUAGUAAGACAGCUGGUCCCUGGAGGCAAUUCAGAAAAUGUCCCCUGAGCGUCCUGAGCAGAGAUGAAGAUGUGUUCCCCCCAGGGCCGGUGAGGGAGAAGUAAGCAGGUGGGGAGGCCGGGGUCCCAGCGUGGCUGUGGCAAGCGUGUCAAAACUGAGGCCAGGCCCCUGCCCCAGCCUGGCCACGACAAACGCCGCCCCCCCCAGUCCUGACCAGCCCUUUCCCGACUGCCCACGGCUUCAGAAUCGAGGGGCCUGAGAAAGUGCCUCAGCCUGGGGGACCUGGGCCAGAACCUGAAUAAAGUGCGGAUGUUCGCUAACUAACAAUGUGUCACUAUCGGUUCGUUAAUUGUGAUGGCGUGUCACUCACGGAGAAAACGGGGUGCAGAGUAACUGGCGCUCUCCACAGCUCUUCCGUAAAUCUGAAACUUCUGAAAUCAAGUUGGUUUUUUAAACUAUGGUAGUUACUCACACACCCCUUCCCCGAGAACCCCCCCACCCCCCACCCCCCACCCCCCACCCCCACCCGGGCCCGGGCCCGGACUCGCCCGCCCCUGGCCUCACCCUCCACCUGCGCCCCAGGGGGAGGAGGGAGGCCGCGCCCCCGGCCCCGCCCCGACUCCCUGGUGCUGGCGGCUCGCUGGGCUCCGCUGGCCGGCGGUGGUGGCGGCUCUGGCGCGGCCUCAGCCCCUGCGCGGCUCCGCGGCUCGGUGAGUCUGGGUCCCCGGAAGGGCUGGGGCGGCCCCUCUGCGCGGUGGCUCCCGGGGCGGCACCGCGCGGCAGGUGGGGCAGAGCCACCGCGGAGCCGGCUGGACAGGUGGCGGGGAGGGGGGGCCCGGGGGUCGCGGCGACGGAGGCCAGUUGCACUGCGUGUCCCGGCAGCCAAGGGCGCCG